rnacentral:tRNA from 3 species
GGGUGUGUAGCUCAGUUGGUAGAGCAGCUGACUCUUAAUCAGCGGGUCCACGGUUCGAGUCCGUGCUCACCCACCA